AUGCUCUCUUUGGCAGCAAAUAUAUUAAAAUUGGAAUGAUAUAAAGAUUAGCAUGGCCUUUGAUCAAAGAUAACACACAAAUUUUUGGGGGGUUUUGCUUACUU